rnacentral:rRNA from 1 species
GAUGAACGCUAGCGGCAGGCCUAAUACAUGCAAGUCGAACGGUGUCUUCGGACAUAGUGGCGCACGGGUGCGUAACACGUAUGCAACCUACCUUACAUUGGGGGAUAGCCUUUCGAAAGGGAGAUUAAUACCGCAUAAGACAGUAGCUGGGCAUCCAGCAGUUGUUAAAGAUUUAUCGAUGUAAGCUGGGCAUGCGACCAAUUAGCUAGUGGGUGAGGUAACGGCUCACCAAGGCAAGGAUUGGUAGGGGAACUGAGAGGUCAAUCCCCCACACUGGCACUGAGAUACGGGCCAGACUCCUACGGGAGGCAGCAGUAGGGAAUAUUGGGCAAUGGACGCAAGUCUGACCCAGCCAUGCCGCGUGCAGGAUGAAGGCGUUAUGCGUUGUAAACUGCUUUUAUACAGGAAGAAACGACUCUUGCGGGAGGCAUUGACGGUACUGUAUGAAUAAGCACCGGCUAACUCCGUGCCAGCAGCCGCCGUAAAAC